GUUUCAUAUGGAGUUUAUGAUAAGGAAAGUAAAAAGAAAGUAGACUAGUAUGUUUGAUAUCCUAUAUUAUUCAAUUUUUUUUUCAUAUAGAGCCUAAAAUUAAAGCUAAACAACAAUUUUUUUCUAACACAAGGCCUCUACAAAUCUGGCUUAAUCACAGCAAUAGGACUCCUGACAUAAUGUAUAGAUGACUUUCACAAAAUAUAUCCUUGAGCAUUCGUUAGGUAAGAAAUAGUGACUGAUUUGCUAAACGUAAUUGUAAAUUUUAACUUCUCAUUCAAUUAUGAGAAAUUAAGACUAUAAGGUUUGACAACCACAUUAACACCAUGAGGUGAAAAAUAUCCGAUGUACAGUGCAUUGGCCUCACCAACAUGUGUUACUGUCCUGGUAUACGGCUAACUUUUUAGUCCAAUGACUAUCGAAAACGACAAAUAGUACAAUUGCCCUUCCAAAAUUCUUGACACAUCUAAGCAAUUCACUUUACGUUGUAAAAUCGUCCUUAUUUGUCUAUUUGUGUAUUUCAGAUCACAUAGAUAGAGAAUAUAGUUUUGAGAUUUAAUAUCAAAAUCAACCUAGGAUCAUUAGCUUUGGAAGGGUUAACAUAAUCAGAACGACAACAAAAAUGUCAACUUGAACGAAUUUCUCGUUUUUAUUGGGAGCAUUAUUGCAAUUUACAAUAUCGACACUAGUCAUAAUUGUUGACUUACUGAUGACAAGAGACAAAUUGGGGUGUGUGCUCUGGAGCAAGACCAUGAUACCACUAGAGUGUGAACAUGACAUCGAGAUACAAGACACUACGUUGAUUUUAAAUUUUGCACCGGUAAUGUUUUCAACUGACAAAGAUCAUACCGCAAGGAUGUUCAUACCAAGUUGAUGAUAUCGGAUUUUAAAAUUUCUGAGCUAACCUGAUUGGGAUCUCUAGACAAAAAAAUGCCACUAUUGGAGCAUUUUUAGUGCCAAUUAGUGUUCCCUUGACUGCUAUUAUUGCUGUUGAUUUAUAUAUCAAGUUUGUACAUGCUAGUAUCGUUUGCGUGCCCUCAUAAUUCACAUUUAUUGCUAGAAGAAUAUAAGGAUCAACAAAUGUACUAAAUUCUCAAUCCUCUAUAUCAUAAGAACUAUGACAGCAUCAUCAACAUUCUUCACCACUUGUUCUUGAACAAUUCUAGUUGUCGUAACAUCUACUUUACAAAGGAUUACCUUUCCUUUGACAUCAAAAUUUUUCAAUGACAAAGGUGUACAAUCUGGUGUUUUUGAACCUCCAGAAUUCAAUUCAAGGUAAAUGAUAGGCAAUUGUUUUUUAUGGAAAUCUUUUGAUUGAAAUGUUGAGUCUCCCUCGAG
rnacentral:lncRNA from 1 species